GCUGGGAUGGUCGAGCGGUUAAGGCGGUGGACUUAAGAUCCCCUGGAGUGUAUCUCCGCGUGGGUUCGAACCCACUCCCAGCA
rfam:Trichobilharzia regenti genome assembly, scaffold: TRE_scaffold0022109